AUGCUCUCCGCCAUCUACAGACAGAGAAUCCUGUUGUGCUGGAGCCAGAAGGGCCGGUUUCGUGGGAGAGCUGGAAACGGACCUGGAACCUCAAGCUCCCCCCAGGCCCGCAGGAGGAAGCCUCAGCUGGGAGCCAGCCCAACACCUCUGACACCGGCCGCCCUGCCUUUGGGCGAAGAGGGAGCCGGCCUCGGGCGCGGAGGCUUCCGCAGGCGCCGGUGUCCAGCUGGGAUUUGCUCACACGUCCUUGCACUGGUGUUUAUGGCAGCCCUCCGUUGACGGCUGAACCUUCCCCACUUUGCUGGCAGAUUGGACCCCAACUGGGACCCCGCCCCCCAGCCAGGUGAGCAUCCAACUCACUGGGGCCCACUCAGUGCACGACAGUGGAAUCCUGGGCAGGCGUUUGGCAACAGUGCCGACGGGGACGCUGGCAGAAGCAGGUGUCACAGAGCUCAAGGCGCUCAAGACUGCGUCCUCGAGCCUUAAAAAUAUGAAUUCCUUUUGCUGUAGCCCUCCCACCUCAGGGCACUCAUUGUGAUAGAAUACUGCAUGGAUGCGAGACGACUUUCUGAGGCUGUCGUCCUGGCGCAUUGCUCAUCACGGUGGAAAAAAUGGACAUAAUCCAGAUAGCCAACAACAGGAGCCUGGUUCACAGCGGAAAUUCAGACAACACCCUGCCACGUCACACAUGACGCUGGGCAAACUGGCGUGAAACUACAUCCACGACACAUUGUAUGUGGGUUUGGAGCUGCUCCCUAGCACGUGACCGAAAUCCAUCUCAAAAUGGAAAAAGCACAGGGAGGAUUUUUGGCCCAUGGACACCCAAAGGAGAGUCGAACAUUUAAGAUUUGGAAAGAGGACUUCCUGCUGUGGCACAGUGGGUUCAGGUGUGGGGUCAGUCCCCAGCCCGGCACAGUGGGUAAAGGAUCUGGCCUCGCUACCUGCUGCAGCGUAGGUCGAAUCUGCGGCUCAGAGUCAAUCCCUGACCUGGGAACUUCCAUAUGCCAUGGGGCGCAGCCAAAAAAAAAGCCCAGAACAAAAGUGUCAGUCGUGCGCUAGAAAAAUAUAGACCAAACAUCAACACGCGGUGCUAGAAAAAUGUACACCAAAGAACAACACUUGCUGGGAGUUUCCUCGUGGCACACUGCUGUGGCUUGUGUUGCUGCUGUGAUACCGGUUCAAUCCCUGGCCCAGGGACGUCCAUAAGCCGUGGAUGCAGCCAAAAAAACAAAAACAGAACAAACAAAAAACCUCGAAGCACGUUCUGUUGAGGGGGAAUGUUGAAAGGUGGCGUCAAGGCCUUGCACUUUGAACUGAUCCCUGAAGCUCAAACAUGUAGCCAGGGGCUCCUGGGCGAAGGAACCCGCGUGUGCCAGGUGUGCGUCCACCCACAGCACCUGCUGGCGGGGAAUCGGGUGCGUCCAAAAGCCUCAGGCAGCUGCCCCUGGAGUCCGCUCGAUGAGCCUUUCGUGAGCAGCGGGUUUAGGCCAGGCUUUUGGCUGAGAGCUGCCUGGUGAGAGAGGAAAGCCACUUGGGAUGCGAUUCCAGACGGCCUGGAGUGCCGCUCUGUCUCUUUUCCAGUGACACAAAAUUGAGGCUAGCAUGUGGGCUCAUCACUUCUUCUCUCGGAGGGACAAAGAUCUCCCCCCCACGGGGCCUCUGGGGCUGCUGCGCUCAUGCAGCUGAGGGGCUGCCUGCGGGGAGGAACGGGGUGGGGGGGGGAGAAGAGGGUCCCGAGGCCCUCACUCCACCACGUGCCAGGGGUGUUGGGGAUUUUCCCGGGGGUGGUUGUAGCAGUCAGGCCGUGCUCCGACGGUCCUCCCUGGGCUUGGCAGGGAAGGCCCCGAAGCCCUGGCGCUACCCUCCCAGCUGCCAGUCGCUGGAGGGCCUGGGGAGGGCAUGGCCAUCUCUGAAGUGUCUUUCGUGCACUAAGCCGAAUGACCUUGGCCUGGAUCGUGAGGGUUAUGUAAGAUUAGGUAGCCACUUAGUCAAAAAUAGCUCUCCUGCUGACUCCAGCCCACAGGACCGCCUCCAAGAGAUGGGGGCGCAGAUGGACCAGGGCCGGGCACGCCUGGGAAACUCCCCACUGCUCCUGGCCCCCGGAGACCCUCCGAGAGGGUGAGAUGGGACCUCAGAGCUGCCAAUGGGCGAUGGAUGUCCCAGGCUCGUCUGUCUGGCAGCGGAGCUGUGUGCUGAAGCACGGAGACCACGGGGCCCUGAAGACAGACAUGCAGAGAAAGAGCAGAAGCAAUUUACAAGACCCUGGCACGCAGUGAACAAGCCAGACACGGCCCGGGCCACGUGGUGCUCACAGUCUAGAGGAAGACACAAAUACCCGCCGAGAACAGGGACCAGACAAGUGGUCUUUACGAGAAAACUUCCAGUAACGAUGUGCGAAGGGCCCUUCUAGGUAGAAGAGGAAGACCUCUCCACUGAACGGGGCUGUUGCUAACUCUCAAGUCUCCACUGAACGGGGCUCUGCCUUGGGAAGGAGCCUGUCAGGGCCCUGUACUUGCCCCUUGGAAGUGACCCUGGGGAAAAGGCAUUUGGACCGUGUGUGAGGAGCUGGCGCCUCUUCCGUGGUUGUUUGUAGUGCCUGUUGGUCUGAUAUUUUUGGAGGACAAUUUGGCAACAUUCAUUAGAGCUUUAAAAAGGACGGCUAGUCUUAAGGGACUGUGGAGACAAAUUGUUCUAUGUCCACAAAAUGCCAUAAAUGAUUACAUAGCCCUCUAUACCCAGACAGGGAAAGAGAUCCAGAUGUUACGAUGUUUGGUUCAAAAAGUUACGUACAGGGGGUUCCCGUCGUGGCACAGUGGUUAACGAAUCCGACUAGGAACCAUGAGGUUGCGGGUUCGGUCCCUGCUCAGUGGGUUAAGGAUCCAGCGUUGCCGUGAGCUGGGGUGUAGGUCGCAGACAUGGCUCGGAUCCUGCGUUGCUGUGGCUGUGGUGUAGGCCGGCGGCUACAGCUCCGAUUCCACCCCCAGCCUGGGAACCUCCAUGUGCCGUGGGAGCGGCCCUAGAAAUGGCAAAAAGC
rnacentral:lncRNA from 1 species